UACGUAGGGGGCGAGCGUUGUCCGGAAUUACUGGGCGUAAAGAGCUCGUAGGUGGUUUGUCGCGUUGUUCGUGAAAACUCACAGCUUAACUGUGGGCGUGCGGGCGAUACGGGCAGACUGGAGUACUGCAGGGGAGACUGGAAUUCCUGGUGUAGCGGUGAAAUGCGCAGAUAUCAGGAGGAACACCGGUGGCGAAGGCGGGUCUCUGGGCCGAUACUGACGCUGAGGAGCGAAAGCGUGGGGAGCGAACAGG
rnacentral:rRNA from 1 species